rnacentral:rRNA from 1 species
UACGUAGGGGGCUAGCGUUAUCCGGAAUUACUGGGCGUAAAGGGUGCGUAGGUGGUUUCUUAAGUCAGAGGUGAAAGGCUACGGCUCAACCGUAGUAAGCCUUUGAAACUGGGAAACUUGAGUGCAGGAGAGGAGAGUGGAAUUCCUAGUGUAGCGGUGAAAUGCGUAGAUAUUAGGAGGAACACCAGUUGCGAAGGCGGCUCUCUGGACUGUAACUGACACUGAGGCACGAAAGCGUGGGGAGCAAACAGGAUUAGAUACCCGUGUAGUCCCUGAGCGGG